rnacentral:rRNA from 1 species
UACGAAGGGGGCUAGCGUUGCUCGGAAUCACUGGGCGUAAAGGGUGCGUAGGCGGGUCUUUAAGUCAGGGGUGAAAUCCUGGAGCUCAACUCCAGAACUGCCUUUGAUACUGAGGAUCUUGAGUUCGGGAGAGGUGAGUGGAACUGCGAGUGUAGAGGUGAAAUUCGUAGAUAUUCGCAAGAACACCAGUGGCGAAGGCGGCUCACUGGCCCGAGACUGACGCUGAGGCGCGAAAGCGUGGGGAGCAAACAGG